rnacentral:rRNA from 1 species
CGGCGGACGGGUGAGUAACACGUGGAUAACCUACCUAUAAGACUGGGAUAACUUCGGGAAACCGGAGCUAAUACCGGAUAAUAUAUUGAACCGCAUGGUUCAAUGGUGAAAGACGGUUUUGCUGUCACUUAUAGAUGGAUCCGCGCCGCAUUAGCUAGUUGGUAAGGUAACGGCUUACCAAGGCAACGAUGCGUAGCCGACCUGAGGAGGGUGAUCGGCCACACUGGAACUGAGACACGGUCCAGACUCCGUACGGGGAGGCAGCAGUU